rnacentral:rRNA from 1 species
CCUACGGGAGGCAGCAGUGGGGAAUUUUGGACAAUGGGCGCAAGCCUGAUCCAGCAAUGCCGCGUGAGUGAAGAAGGCCUUCGGGUUGUAAAGCUCUUUUGUCAGGGAAGAAACGGUAGGGGCUAAUAUCCUUUACUAAUGACGGUACCUGAAGAAUAAGCACCGGCUAACUACGUGCCAGCAGCCGCGGUAAUACGUAGGGUGCAAGCGUUAAUCGGAAUUACUGGGCGUAAAGCGUGCGCAGGCGGUUUUGUAAGUCUGUCGUGAAAGCCCCGGGCUCAACCUGGGAAUUGCGAUGGAGACUGCAAGGCUUGAAUCUGGCAGAGGGGGGUAGAAUUCCACGUGUAGCAGUGAAAUGCGUAGAGAUGUGGAGGAACACCGAUGGCGAAGGCAGCCCCCUGGGUCAAGAUUGACGCUCAUGCACGAAAGCGUGGGGAGCAAACAGGAUUAGAUACCCUGGUAGUCCACGCCCUAAACGAUGUCUACUAGUUGUCGGGUUUUAAUUAACUUGGUAACGCAGCUAACGCGUGAAGUAGACCGCCUGGGGAGUACGGUCGCAAGAUUAAAACUAGAAGUAGUGGACGUGUAGAGCGUCGACGACGACACCGAGGGAGGUUAGAGG